ensembl:snRNA U6 U6 spliceosomal RNA
GUGCUCCCUUUGGCAGCAAAUAUACUAAAAUUGGAACAAUAUAGAAAAGAGUAGCAUGGCCCUUGUGCAAGGAUGACAUCCAAAUUCAUGAAACAUUCCGUAUUUUU